rnacentral:misc_RNA from 1 species
GAUGAAGAACGCAGCGAAAUGCGAUAAGUAAUGUGAAUUGCAGAAUUCAGUGAAUCAUCGAAUCUUUGAACGCACCUUGCGCCCUUUGGCCAUUCCGAAGGGCAUGCCUGUUUGAGUAUCAUGAACACCUCAACUCUUCAUGGUUUUCCAUGAUGAGCUUGGACUUUGGGGGUCUUGCUGGCCUGUGGGUCGGCUCCUCUCAAAUGAAUCAGCUUGCCAGUUUUUGGUGGGCAUCACAGGUGUGAUAACUAUCUACGCUUGUGGUUUUCCACCAGGGUAACCUUCAGCAGUGGAGGUUCACUGGAGCUUACAAAUGUCUCUCCUCUGUGAGGACAGCCCUUUGAAUGUUUGAUCUCAAAUCAGGUAGGACUACCCGCUGAACUUAAGCAUAUCAAUAAGCGGAGGA